rnacentral:rRNA from 1 species
UAGGGAAUAUUGGACAAUGGGCGCAAGCCUGAUCCAGCCAUGCCGCGUGAGUGAUGACGGCCUUAGGGUUGUAAAGCUCUUUUACCUGGGAAGAUAAUGACGGUACCAGGAGAAUAAGCCCCGGCUAACUUCGUGCCAGCAGCCGCGGUAAUACGAAGGGGGCUAGCGUUGUUCGGAAUCACUGGGCGUAAAGCGCACGUAGGCGGAUCUUUAAGUCAGGGGUGAAAUCCCAGAGCUCAACUCUGGAACUGCCUUUGAUACUGGGGAUCUCGAGUCCGGAAGAGGUGAGUGGAACUGCGAGUGUAGAGGUGAAAUUCGUAGAUAUUCGCAAGAACACCAGUGGCGAAGGCGGCUUACUGGUCCGGUACUGACGCUGAGGUGCGAAAGCGUGGGGAGCAAACA